CGAAUCCUGAUGUGUUCGUCGCUAUAUUUGUUACUAAACACUUUUGACCGAACAAUAAAUCGUUGGGAGCUACUAUUACCGUAGAAGCAAACAUGCCCCAUUUGGAGCGGGAAGUUUAACGCUGCGAUUAGUGCACCCCCUUGCUAUAGACGCGGGAUCAAAACGAUGUUGUAGCAAGACGGCAUUUUUGGGAUUCGU
rfam:Solibacillus silvestris StLB046 DNA, complete genome.